UGAGGUGGCGAGCGGCGGACGGGUGAGUAAUGCCUAGGGAUCUGCCCAGUCGAGGGGGAUAACAGUUGGAAACGACUGCUAAUACCGCAUACGCCCUACGGGGGAAAGAGGGGGACCUUCGGGCCUCUCGCGAUUGGAUGAACCUAGGUGGGAUUAGCUAGUUGGUGAGGUAAUGGCUCACCAAGGCGACGAUCCCUAGCUGUUCUGAGAGGAUGAUCAGCCACACUGGGACUGAGACACGGCCCAGACUCCUACGGGAGGCAGCAGUGGGGAAUAUUGCACAAUGGGGGAAACCCUGAUGCAGCCAUGCCGCGUGUGUGAAGAAGGCCUUCGGGUUGUAAAGCACUUUCAGUAGGGAGGAAAGGGUGAGUCUUAAUACGGCUCAUCUGUGACGUUACCUACAGAAGAAGGACCGGCUAACUCCGUGCCAGCAGCCGCGGUAAUACGGAGGGUCCGAGCGUUAAUCGGAAUUACUGGGCGUAAAGCGUGCGCAGGCGGUUUGUUAAGCGAGAUGUGAAAGC
rnacentral:rRNA from 1 species